rnacentral:rRNA from 1 species
UUCCCCUAGUAACGGCGAGUGAAGUGGGAAAAGCUCAACUUUGAAAUCUGGCACCUUCGGUGUCCGAGUUGUAGUCUCAAGAAGUGUUUUCUGUGCUGGUCCAUGUAUGAGUCUGUUGGAACACAGCGUCAUAGAGGGUGACAACCCCGUUCAUGACAUGGAUACCAGUGCUUUGUGAUACACUCUCGAAGAGUCGAGUUGUUUGGGA